rnacentral:sRNA from 1 species
AUAAAACAUGCAAAGCACCCACAGGAAGCUACUUUCAGAAAUUGUUUUCCAAUUUUACUUUGAAGUAAUUAUACAUUUAAAAUAAUUUACUAUGAAGGAAGUACAGUGCUAUUCCAGAGCUCCCACAUAGCCUUCGCCCAGGUCCUCCCAGUGGUUAUGUCAUACAUACCUAGGGUACAGUAUUACAACCAGGACAUUGGUUUUGGUACAAACCGUAUGUAUUGUUCUGUCUUUUUUAUAUUUCACUCUUCUUCAACUUCAUUUCCUUCAACAUACCUUUCUGUUAUGAGGAUCUUACAGUAGCUGCACAAUAUUCUAUGUGUUGUGAUUUAUUAAUCAUUUCUGUUUAUGACCUUUUCUACUGAUUCUCGUUUUUCAUUUUGUAAUCAAGACACAACCUUGUGUGUACAUAUCUUGGUUUGAGUAUAUCUCUGGCUUUCUUUUCUUUUCUUUUCUUUUUUUUUUUUUUUUUGAGACAGGUCUUGCUCUGUUGCCCAGGCUGGAGUACAGUGGUACGAACUUGGCUCAUUGCAACCUGCACCUCCCAGGCUCAAGCAAUCUUCUUACCUCAGCCUUCUGAGUAGCUGGGACUAUAGGUGCACAGCACCACGCCUGGCUAAUUUUUCGUUUUUUUUUUGUAGAGACGGUGUUUCACCAUGUUGCCUAGUCUGGUCUUGAACUCCUGGACUCAAGCAAUUCACCCACCUUAGGCCCUGCAGAGUGCUGGGAUUACAGGCGUGAGCCACUACGCCUGGCUUUCUUUUUUAAUUGAAAUAUAAUUCACAUGCCAUAAAACUCACCCUUUUAGUGUACAAUGUAGUGGUUUUUGGUAUAUUUACAAGGUUGUACAAACCAUCCCCGCUAUCUAGUUUUAGAAUAUUUUCGUCACCUCAGGAUAAAUCCCAAACCCUAUUAUGUAGUCACUCCUCCUUUCCCCCUCUUCUCAAACCCUACCAACCACUAAUCUGCUUUCUGACUCUAUGGUUUUGUCAACUCUGUACAUUUCAUAUAAAGGAAAUCAUACAAUAUAUGGUCUUUUGUGGCUGGCUUCUUUCACUUAGCAUCAUGUUUUUAAGGGUCAUCAUGAUAUAGCAUGUAUCAGUACUUCAUUCCUUUUUAUUGCCAAAUAAUGCACCUCUUGUUUUUUUAAAGACAGAGUUUCGCUCUUGUUUCCCUGGCUAGAGUGCAGUGGUGCCACCUUGGCUCACUGCAACUUCCGCCUGCUGAGUUCAAGCAAUUCUUCUGCCUCAGCCUCCCGAGUAGCUGGGAUUACUGGCAUGUGCCACCACACCCAGCUAAUUUUGUGUGUUUUGUUUUGAGAUGGAGUCUCGCUCUGUCGCCCAGGCUGGAGUGCAAUGGCACGAUCUCGGCUCACUGCAGCCUCCGCCUCCCGGGUUCAAGCGAUUCUCCUGCCUCAGCCUCCUGAGUAGCUGGGAUUGCAGGCUGAAACAAGCCAGGGAGCUCUGGGCACACUGGCAAAUGUAGUGACCUCCCUUGCCAACCUAAGUGAAUCUUUGAACAACGGUGACACUUCAGAAAUCCAGCCAGAGGACCAGUCUGCAAGUGAGAUAACUCGGGCAUUUGAUACCUUAGCUAAAGCACUCAAUACCACAGACAGCUCCUCUUCUCCAAGCUUGGCAGAUGGGAUAGACACCAGUGGAGGAGGGAGCAUCCACGUCAUCAGCAGAGACCAGUCGACACCCAUCAUUGAGGUUGAAGGCCCCCUCCUUUCAGACACACACGUCACAUUUAAGCUAACAAUGCCCAGUCCAAUGCCAGAGUACCUCAACGUGCACUACAUCUGUGAGUCUGCAUCCCGUCUGCUUUUCCUCUCAAUGCACUGGGCUCGGUCAAUCCCAGCCUUUCAGGCACUUGGGCAGGACUGCAACACCAGCCUGGUGCGGGCCUGCUGGAAUGAGCUCUUCACCCUCGGCCUGGCCCAGUGUGCCCAGGUCAUGAGUCUCUCCACCAUCCUGGCUGCCAUCGUCAACCACCUGCAGAACAGCAUCCAGGAAGAUAAACUUUCUGGUGACCGGAUAAAGCAAGUCAUGGAGCACAUUUGGAAGCUGCAGGAGUUCUGUAACAGCAUGGCGAAGCUGGAUAUAGAUGGCUAUGAGUAUGCAUACCUUAAAGCUAUAGUUCUCUUUAGCCCCGAUCAUCCAGGUUUGACCAGCACAAGCCAGAUUGAAAAAUUCCAAGAAAAGGCACAGAUGGAGUUGCAGGACUAUGUUCAGAAAACCUACUCAGAAGACACCUACCGAUUGGCCCGGAUCCUUGUUCGCCUGCCGGCACUCAGGCUGAUGAGCUCCAACAUAACAGAAGAACUUUUUUUUACUGGUCUCAUUGGCAAUGUUUCGAUAGACAGCAUAAUCCCCUACAUCCUCAAGAUGGAGACAGCAGAGUAUAAUGGCCAGAUCACCGGAGCCAGUCUAUAGCGCACACCACACACCUGCUAAGGAGCAACAGAAUCCUCCCGGGACCGUUCACGUACAAAGAAAAGAAAAGUAGUGGUAUUUUGGUAUGUGCAAAUAUUUCCAUAUGUUAGCCAUUUCCUGUCUGGUUUCUCCUUAUCUGUUAAUCCCAGACAAUAGCAAUUAAAAGACUAGUAGGAUCCUUUCCUGACAUAAGAAAUGUUUUAAUGCCUUUUGAUGAAGCAGCAGAUUUUGGAACAAUCUUUUAACUCAGUUUGUAUUUAGAAAUUCUCAAAGGGCAAAAAACAAAAAAAAGGUUUUAUAAUGUCAGAGACUAGUAUUAAAGAAAACUGAAAG